rnacentral:rRNA from 1 species
UAGGGAAUCUUCCGCAAUGGACGCAAGUCUGACGGAGCAACGCCGCGUGAGUGAAGAAGGAUUUCGGUUCGUAAAACUCUGUUGUGAGAGAAGAACAGCGCAUAGAGUAACUGUUAUGCGUGUGACGGUAUCUAACCAGAAAGCCACGGCUAACUACGUGCCAGCAGCCGCGGUAAUACGUAGGUGGCAAGCGUUGUCCGGAUUUAUUGGGCGUAAAGCGAGCGCAGGCGGUCAAUUAAGUCUGAUGUGAAAGCCCCCGGCUCAACCGGGGAGGGUCAUUGGAAACUGGUUGACUUGAGUGCAGAAGAGGAGAGUGGAAUUCCAUGUGUAGCGGUGAAAUGCGUAGAUAUAUGGAGGAACACCGGUGGCGAAAGCGGCUCUCUGGUCUGUAACUGACGCUGAGGCUCGAAAGCGUGGGGAGCGAACAGG